rnacentral:piRNA from 1 species
UGGCGAAAGAGUAUCCAGAAUUUCAGUUU